CCUACGGGAGGCAGCAGUGGGGAAUAUUGGGCAAUGGGCGCAAGCCUGACCCAGCAACGCCGCGUGAAGGAAGAAGGCUUUCGGGUUUUAAACUUCUUUUCUCAGGGACGAAGCAAGUGACGGUACCUUAUGAAUAAGCCACGGCUAACUACGUGCCAGCAGCCGCUGUAAUACGUAGGUGUCAAGCGUUAACCGGAUUUACUGGGUGUAAAGGGCGUUUAGGCGGGACUGGAAGUCAGAUGUGAAAACCACGGGCUCAAACUGUGGCCUGCAUUUGAAACUGUAGUUCUUGAGUACUGGAGAGGCAGACGGAAUUCCUAGUGUAGCGGUGAAAUGCGUAGAUAUUAGGAGGAACACCAGUGGCGAAGGCGGUCUGCUGGACAGCAACUGACGCUGAGGCGCGAAAGCGUGGGGAGCAAACAGGAUUAGAUACCCGGGUAGUC
rnacentral:rRNA from 1 species